UUGCAUUAGAGUUUGAUCCUGGCUCAGAAUCAACGCUGGCGGCAUGCCUAACACAUGCAAGUCGAGCGAGAAAGUGUAGCAAUACAUGAGUACAGCGGCGCACGGGUGAGUAACACGUGGAUAACCUGCCUCAAAGUGGGGAAUAACACCGGGAAACCGGUGCUAAUACCGCAUAUUCUGAUGGAGCCUGCGGGCUUUGUCAGGAAAGGAGCAAUUCGCUAUGAGCGGGGUCCGCGGCUGAUUAGCUAGUUGGUGAGGUAAUGGCUCACCAAGGCAACGAUCAGUAGCCGGUCUGAGAGGACGGUCGGCCACACUGGAACUGAGACACGGUCCAGACUCCUACGGGAGGCAGCAGUGGGGAAUUUUUCG
rnacentral:rRNA from 1 species